AACGUAGGACGCAAGCGUUAUCCGGAGUUACUGGGCGUAAAGCGCGGGCAGGCGGUCUUGCCAGUCUGAUGUGAAAUCUCCCCGCUCAACGGGGAGCAGCCAUUGGAAACUACAAGACUGGAGUCUGACAGAGGUAGGCGGAAUUCCGGGUGGAGUGGUGAAAUGCGUAGAGAUCCGGAGGAACACCAGAGGCGAAGGCGGCCUACUGGGUCAGUACUG
rnacentral:rRNA from 1 species